GCUGGCGGCGUGCUUAACACAUGCAAGUCGAACGAUGAUGCUCCAGCUUUGUUGGGGUGGAUUAGUGGCGAACGGGUGAGUAACACGUGAGUAACCUGCCCUCUUCUUUGGGAUAACGGUCGGAAACGGCUGCUAAUACUGGAUAUUCACUCAUUGGCGCAUGUUGGUGGGUGGAAAGGUUUUUUCUGGUGGGGGAUGGGCUCGCGGCCUAUCAGCUUGUUGGUGGGGUGAUGGCCUACCAAGGCUUUGACGGGUAACCGGCCUGAGAGGGUGACCGGUCACAUUGGGACUGAGAUACGGCCCAGACUCCUACGGGAGGCAGCAGUGGGGAAUUUUGCACAAUGGGCGCAAGCCUGAUGCAGCGACGCCGCGUGAGGGAUGAAGGCCUUCGGGUUGUAAACCUUUUUCGCUCAUGGUCAAGCCGCAGCUUUGGGUUGUGGUGAGGGUAGUGGGUAAAGAAGCGCCGGCUAACUACGUGCCAGCA
rnacentral:rRNA from 1 species